GAUGAACGCUGGCGGCGUGCCUAAUACAUGCAAGUCGAGCGAACAGACGAGGAGCUUGCUCCUCUGACGUUAGCGGCGGACGGGUGAGUAACACGUGGAUAACCUACCUAUAAGACUGGGAUAACUUCGGGAAACCGGAGCUAAUACCGGGUAAUAUAUUGAACCGCAUGGUUCAAUAGUGAAAGACGGUUUUGCUGUCACUUAUAGAUGGAUCCGCGCCGCAUUAGCUAGUUGGUAAGGUAACGGCUUACCAAGGCAACGAUGCGUAGCCGACCUGAGAGGGGGGGGGCCCACAUGGGAAGGGAACCGCGGCCAGGCCGCCGGGGGGAGGCACAAGAGGGGAAUCUUCGGAAGGGGGGGAAAGCGGGAGGGAGCAGGGCGGAGGGGGGGAGAAAGGUGUGCGGACGGAAAAACUUUUUUAUGGGGAAAAAAAAAAUGGGUAAGUAAAUAGGCACGCUUUGAGGGUACUUAAUAAGAAAGCCCCGGCUAAAUAGGGG
rnacentral:rRNA from 1 species